rnacentral:rRNA from 1 species
AACGCUGGCGGCGUGCUUAACACAUGCAAGUCGAACGGGGCGAAGUGAUAGCUUGCUAUUAUGGAGCCUAGUGGCAAACGGGUGAGUAACGCGUAGGCAACCUGCCCUUCAGAUGGGGACAACACCUCGAAAGGGGUGCUAAUACCGAAUGACGUUUCCUGGUCGCAUGACCUGGAAACCAAAGGCCGGGCAACCGGUCACUGAAGGAUGGGCCUGCGUACGAUUAGCUGGUUGGCGGGGUAACGGCCCACCAAGGCGACGAUCGUUAGGGGUUCUGAGAGGAAGGUCCCCCACACUGGAACUGAGACACGGUCCAGACUCCUACGGGAGGCAGCAGUGAGGAAUAUUGGUCAAUGGUCGGAAGACUGAACCAGCCAAGUAGCGUGAAGGAUGACUGCCCUACGGGUUGUAAACUUCUUUUAUACGGGAAUAAAACCACCUACGUGUAGGUGCUUGUAUGUACCGUAUGAAUAAGCAUCGGCUAACUCCGUG